rnacentral:lncRNA from 1 species
AUUCAAUCAGUCUGAACUUAUUUUUGAGCUGUAUAUAAAGCUCUGAGUUAAAAAAAAUUUGGAGGCUUUGUUAAAGAAAGAAAGCUGUCCUUCAUGAACCCCACUGCCAACUGCAAUCCAGACUCCAGAGUGGACAGACCACCCUAGAGAGUGGUAAAACCAGGAAGACACUUUGGGCAAAUGUGAAAUACAUCAUGGGACCAGUUGUUCCCUCCUAAGGCUGACUCUUGCUUCUGGCAUCUUCUGCUCCUCCCAAUCCUCCAGCAUAACCUGCUUGGAGAAAUUGUCAAGCUCUUGGAAAAGGCCAAAGUUCACUAUGUACCUUCUCGCUAAUAGGAUGAGGGUGAGUUUUUUAAAAAAAUAACUCUUGAAAAGUUUCCUGAGAGGUAAACCCAUCCUCUUUAAGAAACAACUAUAAAUCUUUAUCACCAAUUUCAUGCAUUCUAAGAUGCACAGUUUUUCACACAUAAAUGUUCCUCAAAUUGGGAUGCAUCUUGCAGUUGCUGCUGGCCUGGUGAUAGUCAAGGAGCUGCCAUUGCUCACAGGAGCACGAGCCUAUUGUAGCUCUUCAUAGGGCAUUUUAAUUGAGAUGUGUGCCUGGUUGUUACCACCCAUGUGAGCUCCUAGGCCGCUGGCAAUGUCUUCAGAAAGUGUAUACUACGAUUUGACAUUGACUUUCUACACAAUGUCAAAGUGUAGGAAUUUCAG